AGAGUUUGAUCCUGGCUCAGAACGAACGCUGGCGGCAGGCUUAACACAUGCAAGUCGAACGAUCCCUUCGGGGAUAGUGGCAGACGGGUGAGUAACACGUGGGAACGUACCUUUCAGUUCGGAAUAACUCAUGGAAACGUGAGCUAAUACCGGAUACGCCCUUAUGGGGAAAGAUUUAUCGCUGAAAGAUCGGCCCGCGUCUGAUUAGCUUGAUGGUGGGGUAAUGGCCUACCAUGGCGACGAUCAGUAGCUGGUCUGAGAGGAUGAUCAGCCACACUGGGACUGAGACACGGCCCAGACUCCUACGGGAGGCAGCAGUGGGGAAUAUUGGACAAUGGGCGCAAGCCUGAUCCAGCCAUGCCGCGUGAGUGAUGACGGCCCUAGGGUUGUAAAGCUCUUUCGGCGGGGACGAUAAUGACGGUACCCGCAGAAGAAGCCCCGGCUAACUUCGUGCCAGCAGCCGCGGUAAUACGAAGGGGGCAAGCGUUGUUCGGAAUCACUGGGCGUAAAGGGCGCGUAGGCGGACAUUUAAGUCAGGGGUGAAAUCCCGGGGCUCAACCCCGGAACUGCCCUUGAUACUGGGUGUCUUGAGACCGGAAGAGGCAAGUGGAACUGCGAGUGUAGAGGUGAAAUUCGUAGAUAUUCGCAAGAACACCAGUGGCGAAGGCGGCUUGCUGGUCCGGAUCUGACGCUGAGGCGCGAAAGCGUGGGGAGCAAACAGGAUUAGAUACCCUGGUAGUCCACGCCGUAAACGAUGGAUGCCAGCCGUUGGGCAGCUUGCUGCUCAGUGGCGCAGUUAACGCGUUAAGCAUCCCGCCUGGGGAGUACGGUCGCAAGAUUAAAACUCAAAGGAAUUGACGG
rnacentral:rRNA from 1 species